rnacentral:rRNA from 1 species
CUGGUGUUGAAGGCCCUGCAAAGCAGCAUCGCGGUGGCGGAGCGUCGUUUGCGACGCCCAACACACAAAACAAGCGGUGAGUGCUUUGGGGUGGGGUGACUGCGUACCUUUUGUAUAAUGGGUCAGCGACUUAUAUUCUGUAGCAAGGUUAACCGAAUAGGGGAGCCGGAGGGAAACCGAGUCUUAAUUGGGCGUUAAGUUGCAGGGUAUAGACCCGAAACCCGGUGAUCUAGCCAUGGGCAGGUUGAAGGUUGGGUAACACUAACUGGAGGACCGAACCGACUAAUGUUGAAAAAUUAGCGGAUGACCUGUGGCUGGGGGUGAAAGGCCAAUCAAACCGGGAGAUAGCUGGUUCUCCCCGAAAGCUAUUUAGGUAGCGCCUCGUGAACUCAUCUCCGGGGGUAGAGCACUGUUUCGGCUAGGGGGCCAUCCCGGCUUACCAACCCGAUGCAAACUGCGAAUACCGGAGAAUGUUAUCACGGGAGACACACGGCGGGUGCUAACGUCCGUCGUGAAGAGGGAAACAACCCAGACCGCCAGCUAAGGUCCCAAAGUCAUGGUUAAGUGGGAAACGAUGUGGGAAGGCCCAGACAGCCAGGAUGUUGGCUUAGAAGCAGCCAUCAUUUAAAGAAAGCGUAAUAGCUCACUGGUCGAGUCGGCCUGCGCGGAAGAUGUAACGGGGCUAAACCAUGCACCGAAGCUGCGGCAGCGAACGUAUCACCCAAGACAACUUUGCGGAGUUGACGAUUGACGGAGCGAAGCGACGUCAAAGCGUUCAUUAAAGUCGAGUUGGCUUAGGGAUACGUUCGUUGGGUAGGGGAGCGUUCUGUAAGCCAGUGAAGGUGUGUCGUGAGGCAUGCUGGAGGUAUCAGAAGUGCGAAUGCUGACAUAAGUAACGAUAAAGCGGGUGAAAAGCCCGCUCGCCGGAAGACCAAGGGUUCCUGUCCAACGUUAAUCGGGGCAGGGUGAGUCGACCCCUAAGGCGAGGCCGAAAGGCGUAGUCGAUGGGAAACGGGUUAAUAUUCCCGUACUUGGUGUUACUGCGAAGGGGGGACGGAGAAGGCUAUGUUGGCCGGGCGACGGUUGUCCCGGUUUAAGCGUGUAGGCUGGUUUUCCAGGCAAAUCCG